CCUGGCAAGUCUCUGAUCAUCGUGCUCACCUUGGUUUCUGUCGGGAAGGCCCCGUUCCGCUGUUUUAGCGAUGUCGCUCCGUUUCAGCCUUUUUGGCUGCUAUUUCAGGUUUGUGCUUAUUUUUCCGGCGAUCUGAGGCUGUUCCGAUGCCUUCGGAGGUGAGCACGGUGACCGCUGGUCAGUGCUGAUCACAAUGCUCACCUUCCCUUGGAUCAUAAGUGUCCGGUUAGUUCUGUUUGGCGCGAUCUUCCCUGACUGCAAGCUAUUCGCUAAACCUUCGGGUUGCUCCCGCGCUUCCCACAGCAAGCCGAUGUGCUCCGGAUCAUGAGCACGGACUCCGGUACGUCGAGACCUAUCAGUACGUGUCUCUGCGGACUUCGAAAGUCCUCAGUUUGCGUGAACGAGCCGCUUGAUCGCUCAAAUUACAUAAAUGAUGAGAUUUUAUGAAAUUAGAGGGUCUUUUAUGGAGUUGUGCUUUGUGUGGCUACUGUGGGCAGUGUGUGGGAGUUUGUAAUGACCGCUGGACUGAUUGUCCAUGGUCCGUUAGCUUUCGCGGAAAUCGGUAGGUCGAUUUCGGUGCGUUUUUCGGCGAAAUUCGCCGAAAGAACGCGGUUUCGGUUCGGAUUCUUUCCGACGGUGUUUGGUUGCUUCGUGUUUUGUCGCUGAGCCUUGUUGGCUGGUCACCAUCAUCAUUUUGUGGGUUCGAUGAUGAUAGGUGAGCGACGGAGGGUUCCGGUGUCGAAAUAGACACUUCCGGGAAUCCGGAUUCGUACGAUUAUCCGGCGAUGAUCGUAUUGUUGUGUUACCUCGUGUUCGCUGCCAAGGCAACCAAAUUGGAGUGCUUUGGGGCAGCGGGUGACUCGUGGCACGAGUCGGUGAGUUCGGGACACUUAGUGGGUCCCGACGGCGUCCCGGUGUGGUUUUCGGGACUUCCGGUGAGUUACGGUAAUCGGUUUUGGGAAACCGAUUACGGGGAUCCUGUGUGGGGGUUUGUGAGUCUCGUGCUUUGGGUUAGUGGUUUGGAUACUGACUUGGUGGAUCUUCUUAGGUCCGGUAGACUCUGUGCGUACCCAGUGUUCCGACGCGACAGUGACAGGUGGGUGCUUCGAGCUGGUAGUCGGUGAGAGCGUUUCACCUCCUUCUCCUGUUUUUCUAUUCCAGUAUUUUAGCUCUACAUGUCAGUUGUUUGGUUAUCGUUUGGUUAUCGUAUUUCGUUGACUGCAUUGGUUAGUGAUUGAUAGACAUGUAGAGCAGGUUGCAUUUGUAUUUCAGUAUCUCUGUGG
rnacentral:lncRNA from 1 species